UCAGCGCGUUCUCCAGCGCUUGGGGGCGGGGUCGAUGACUCACCGGGCUGCGCCCCUUGCCCCCGCCCCUCCCGGCUGCGCGCACGUGAGCGAGCACUACGCUGGUUUCUAAAUUUAGUCCCGGCGGCUUCCCUGGGGUCGCCUGAGAAUACAGUAUUUGCUUUGUUGUUCUGACUUUUCCCACUUGGAGAGUUGUGAAAAGGAAACAUUUUAUCCACCAUCUUGUCUCUUCUCUUUCUUCACGGAGGUAAAAAUUCCAGUAUCUCUGACACUUCUAUGAAUAAGACUGGUUGGUAAUUCUGUGGAUAAAACUGGUUGGUAAAUGGGUUGUUUGCAUUUGAAACAGAAUCAAUUUCUGCACAAUGAUACCUCCCUGCCUAUCCUGAAAUUGAAGGGUGCACAAUGAAGAGAUUGUACUUACCCUUUCUUAGAAGUUAUUGAUGUAAAGGGAGGGAGAUCUUUAUCAUAAAGCUUUAGUAGCCAGAGCUCUCAGCAAAAUGAAAUUGAAACUACUCUCAAUUUUAUAAAAGGCUAAUGACAGCAAAGUAUGUUGUCAUUUUUUGACACAUACCUUGAGAUUUAGUUUUGAAAAUAUAUAGUAUGUU
rnacentral:lncRNA from 1 species